GACGAACGCUGGCGGCGUGCCUAAUACAUGCAAGUCGAGCGGACAGAAGGGAGCUUGCUCCCGGAAGUUAGCGGCGGACGGGUGAGUAACACGUGGGCAACCUACCCUGUAGAUCGGGAUAACAUCGAGAAAUCGGUGCUAAUACCGGAUAAUCAUUUGAAGUGCAUGCUUCGAAUGUAAAAGAUGGCUCCGGCUAUCACUACGGGAUGGGCCCGCGGCGCAUUAGCUGGUUGGUAAGGUAAUGGCUUACCAAGGCAACGAUGCGUAGCCGACCUGAGAGGGUGAUCGGCCACACUGGGACUGAGACACGGCCCAGACUCCUACGGGAGGCAGCAGUAGGGGAUCUUCCGCGAUGGACGAAAGUCUGACGGAGCAACGCCGCGUGAGUGAUGAAGGUUUUCGGAUCGUAAAGCUCUGUUGUUAGGGAAGAACAAGUGCCGUUUGAAUAAGGCGGCACCUUGACGGUACCUAACCAGAAAGCCACGGCUAACUACGUGCCAGCCGCCGCCGUAACAC
rnacentral:rRNA from 1 species